GAGAGCCGGAUGCGGGAAAUCCGCACGUCCGGUUCGACGAGGGGGAUGUGGAAACGGAGUCAGGGUCCGGACAGUAAGGCACCGCCAAUCGAAAGAGGCGGUCAACGGAUAUGCCGAACCUACCGCUACCGCGCCACAUCUCUACUCUAC
rnacentral:ncRNA from 2 species